UCGAUUAUGGUUGUUGGUGAGGUAAUGGCUCACCAAGCCGAUAAUCGAUAGGGGCCGUGAGAGCGGGAGCCCCGAGAUGGGUACUGAGACAACGACCCAGGCCUUACGAGGCGCAGCAGGCGCGAAACCUCCGCAAUACACGAAAGUGUGACGGGGUUACCCAAAGUGUUCAAUUUUGAACUGUGGUAGGUGAGUAAUGUUCCCUACUAGAAAGGAGAGGGCAAGGCUGGUGCCAGCCGCCGCGGUAGAACCAGCUCUUCAAGUGGUCGGGAUAAUUAUUGGGCUUAAAGUGUCCGUAGCCGGUUUAGUAAGUUCCUGGUAAAAUCGGGUAGCUUAACUAUCAAUAUGCUAGGAAUACUGCUAUACUAGAGGGCGGGAGAGGUCUGAGGUACUACAGGGGUAGGGGUGAAAUCUUAUAAUCCUUGUAGGACCACCAGUGGCGAAGGCGUCAGACUGGAACGCGCCUGACGGUGAGGGACGAAAGCCAGGGGAGCGAACCGGAUUAGAUACCCGGGUAGUCCUGGCCGUAAACGAUGCAUACUAGGUGAUGGUACGGCCAUGAGCCGUGUCAGUGCCGUAGGGAAACCGUUAAGUGUGCCGCCUGGGAAGUACGGUCGCAAGGCUAAAACUUAAAGGAAUUGGCGGGGGAGCACCACAAGGGGUGAAGCCUGCGGUUCAAUUGGACCCAACGCCGGAAAACUUACCAGGGGAGACAGCAGUAUGACGGUCAGGUUGACGACCUUACCUAACGAGCUGAGAGGAGGUGCAUGGCCGUCGCCAGUUCGUGCCGUUAGGUAUCCUGUUAAGUCAGGCAACGAACGAGAUCCGCACCUUUAUUUGCCACCAAGAAGUCACGACUUCGUUGGGAACACUAAAGGGACCGCCGUCGAUAAGACGGAGGAAGGAGCGGGCAAAGGCAGGUCAGUAUGCCCCGAAACCCCUGGGCUACACGCGGGCCGCAAUGGUAUGAACAAUGGGCUGUGACUCCGAAAGGAGAAACCAAUCCCGAAAUCAUAUCUCAGUUGGAAUUGUCGGCUGUAACCCGCCGACAUGAACGCGGAAUCCCUAGUAAUCGUGUGUCAUCAUCGGACGGUGAAUACGUCUCUGCUCCUUGCACACACCGCCCGUCGCUCCAUCCGAGUGUGCUAAAAAUGAGGUUUGGUCAAUUUGGUCAUAUCGAGUUUCUAGUAUGCGAGGAGGGAGAAGUCGUAACAAGGUA
rnacentral:rRNA from 1 species